GACAGUAUGGUGUAGUGGUUAUCACGUCUGCCUCACACGCAGAAGGUCCCCAGUUCGCGCCUGGGUUCUGUCA
rnacentral:tRNA from 1 species